UUCGAGCUCAGAUACCCAGACGACAUGCUAAUAUUUCCUUAUAUAGAACUGAUGUUGCAAGCAAGGGCAACUGUCUCCAGAGCAGUGGAUGUGUGACGUGUCAGUCACUGUUGCUCUGCCAGAUCUGGGAGCUGUAGUAAAGGCUGUCUUCUUUCACAUCUGCUCUUCGAUGUUCUACAUUUAUAGGCCUAGGUUUUUAGCAGAGUACGAGUAAUGUAGGAACGGCUCCAGAGUGAAGAAGCUUCCCGGCGUUCAGCAAAUGUUGCUUGCGACCAAUAGCCAUGGAUUAGCUAUUAGAGAAAGUUAACAGAAGCACAAGAGGAUUCUGUAUUCUAGUUCUACCACGGACCCUCUCACUUCUGAUGUUGACGUCCUAACAGCUGAAUUGCGAGAACCUGAAAAGGAAUGCUAGACGCCCUCGGCACGCAAGCCCCUUAGACCAUCUUAUGGAGCUGGGACAUUGGUCUAGUUUCUAUCCUCGUGCAAAACUCUAAACUGUGUUGUCCAGUGCUUGUCAUUCAUUGGGCAAUUUACCACAAACUAUAAAAACCAGCUUGGCUCCAUUGAGU